AACGAACGCUGGCGGCAGGCUUAACACAUGCAAGUCGAACGCCCCGCAAGGGGAGUGGCAGACGGGUGAGUAACGCGUGGGAACAUACCCUUUUCUACGGAAUAGCUCUGGGAAACUGGAAUUAAUACCGUAUACGCCCUACGGGGGAAAGAUUUAUCGGGGAAGGAUUGGCCCGCGUUGGAUUAGCUAGUUGGUGGGGUAAAGGCCUACCAAGGCGACGAUCCAUAGCUGGUCUGAGAGGAUGAUCAGCCACAUUGGGACUGAGACACGGCCCAAACUCCUACGGGAAGCAGCAGUGGGGAAUAUUGGACAAUGGGCGCAAGCCUGAUCCAGCCAUGCCGCGUGAGUGAUGAAGGCCUUAGGGUUGUAAAGCUCUUUCACCGAUGAAGAUAAUGACGGUAGUCGGAGAAGAAGCCCCGGCUAACUUCGUG
rnacentral:rRNA from 1 species